AUUCCAGCUCCAGUAGCGUAUAUUAAAGUUGUUGCAGUUAAAAAGCUCGUAGUUGGAUUUCUGGUACGCUGCGCCUGGCCCGCCCGCUUCGAGCGUGGUGUGUGCUGGAGCGCGGUUGCCAUCCUUCUAGAAAACGUUUCUACCCUUCGCUGGGCUGGAUUCGCAAUCUAGAUCUUUUACUUUGAAAAAAUUAGAGUGUUUAAAGCAGGCAUUUGCCAUGAAUACAUUAGCAUGGAAUAAUAAUAUAGGACUUUGGUUCUAUUUUGUUGGUUUCUAGGACUAAAGUAAUGAUUGAUAGGGAUAGUUGGGGGUGCUCGUAUUUAGCGGCCAGAGGUGAAAUUCUUGGAUUCGCUAAAGACGAACUUAUGCGAAAGCAUUCACCAAGGAUGUCUUCAUUG
rnacentral:rRNA from 1 species